UAGGGAAUCUUCCGCAAUGGACGAAAGUCUUGACGGAGCAACGCCGCGUGAGUGAUGAAGGUUUUCGGAUCGUAAAGCUCUGUUGCCAGGGAAGAACGUCCGUUAGAGUAACUGCUAACGGAGUGACGGUACCUUGAGAAGAAAGCCCCGGCUAACUACGUG
rnacentral:rRNA from 1 species